UGAGUGGCUGGGAGGGGUAGAGCCAGGAUCCACCCCUUCCCAGACCUCAUUUAAGGGCUGGCAGUAGAGGUGAGAGUAUCUCUUGCUGGAGAUCUCUGUGUACCUGAGGCCUUUCUAAGGUAUUGUUGUAUAUGCCAUCUCACGUUUUCAUAGAAACAGAGGAUUGUUUGGUUUGGAAGGGACCUUACAUAUCAUCCAGCUGCAACUCUCCUGCCAUGGCUGCUGAAAAAAUCAACGGCCUGUUUUGCAGGGUAAAAUUGAGAACUAAUAGUUUCCGAGCAGCUGCUGCACUUGCAUGAAA
rnacentral:lncRNA from 1 species